UGGGGAAUUUUGGACAAUGGGGGAAACCCUGAUCCAGCAAUGCCGCGUGUGUGAAGAAGGCCCUCGGGUUGUAAAGCACUUUUGGCAGGAAAGAAAAGGCGCUGGCUAAUAUCCAGCGCUGAUGACGGUACCUGCAGAAUAAGCACCGGCUAACUACGUGCCAGCAGCCGCGGUAAUACGUAGGGUGCAAGCGUUAAUCGGAAUUACUGGGCGUAAAGCGUGCGCAGGCGGUUAUGUAAGUCUGACGUGAAAUCCCCGGGCUCAACCUGGGAAUGGCGUUGGAGACUGCAUAGCUGGAGUCUGGCAGAGGGGGGUAGAAUUCCACGUGUAGCAGUGAAAUGCGUAGAGAUGUGGAGGAAUACCGAUGGCGAAGGCAGCCCCCUGGGCUAAGACUGACGCU
rnacentral:rRNA from 1 species